rnacentral:rRNA from 1 species
GACGAACCGUCCAAACGUUGUUCGGAAUCACUGGGCUUAAAGGGCGCGUAGGCGGGCUAUCAAGUCCGGGGUGAAAUCCUCCAGCUUAACUGGAGAACGGCCUCGGAUACUGAUGGUCUCGAGGAAGGUAGGGGCACGCGGAACUGUGGGUGGAGCGGUGAAAUGCGUUGAUAUCCAUAGGAACUCCGGUGGCGAAGGCGGUGUGCUGGACCUUUUCUGACGCUGAGGCGCGAAAGCCAGGGGAGCGAACGGG